rnacentral:lncRNA from 1 species
ACCCAUCUAAAGGAAUUAAGAAACAAAAUUCCCCCAGAAGAACAGUAGUAUCAUUAAUGGAAUUUGCCGGUUAACAAGCUCCUUAACUGAACCAAGAACAAAAGAAGUUACAUAUAAGUGUUGACAGUUUAUUUAGAGCGAGAAUAAUGGCGCCAGAUGGGUCAUCGGAGAUGGGUUUUCAUUUUUCUAAUAAUAUUAUUAUAUAAAUAUAUAUUUACGUGAGUGUAUGUCAUAAGAUUUCCUUUUUUGUUUGGAAUUUUGAGAAUUUGAUUCAUAGGAGAAAGAGAAAGGGAGCACAUGAAGGAAGGUGAUCUUGAGAUCUGUGACUUUGACUUGCAGUUGGAUGCCACGCGGCUGUUACUCGUCUGAUUCCGACAGUUAAUACCAAUUCGAAGGGAAACCCAUAUUUUUUCUUUUUUUUUUUUUUUGGCUCCUCAAC